rnacentral:lncRNA from 1 species
CACGCCCCUGGGGGCCAUCUGGCCCAAGUCCACCUGCGCGGCUGAGUGGAGGAUGCUAGGUUGCUGUGCUGUUUCUCCUACUGUCUUGCUGCCGCACCACCCCUCAGAAAAACCGGGUCGUCAGUUUCCUGCGGUUUGCACUCACCAAAUAUACUUAGCAAUUUGCAAUUCACCCGCAGGAUUAUUCCAGCCUCUGUGAUCACACACAGAAGGAUGAGCCUUCCUCGUGAGGGUUGGAGAUGGAGGGAGAAGGGAUGGAGAGUAAGGAUGGGACGGAGGUUGUGGAGCAGCAGACCAACACGCCAGAAAGGAAAAUAAUGAUCAUCUCAAUUUUUAUAUGUGGAGGCAUUGCUUUUCUUCUUUGGGGGAUUUUAAGAUUUCCCAGAAAAUUUGGAAUUCCAAGGCACCUUAGAAACAAGACAUGCCUAGAAAAUUUGACUAUGUGUCCACAAGGCUGGAACUGAAUCAAUAAUAAUUGCUUCUUUCAAUCUGAACAUGAAACAACGUGGAUCAAUGGCUGAGAAAACUGCAGAAGUUAUGGAUCUCUGGCCAGGCUCAACUCUCAGAAUGAAAUGGGAAUCUUUGAUGCAUUAUCUGGGGCCGUCUUUAUAUUGGUUUGAACUGAGCAAGCACAAUGCAAACAAAACGUGGAUGUGGGCAGAUGGAGCUACAUUCAGCAAUUGUCAAGUUAUGAAACUAGCGAAUUAUUUACAUUAAGUGGAUUUGUUGUUGCUGUCGUUGCUGAAACUAGUGAAAGAAUCGAGUUUUGUGCUAUGAGUCAUGGGAGCAAAACGUGAGUAUUUAGAAGUGGAGAGGACCACGAAGAAGGAAGCCCUGGUGACUUGAAGAAAUCAUGGAGAGUUCUCCGGAUUCCCACAAACCUAUGGGGUUUAGAUUCCAGCUAAUACUUACACGGGUCUCAGAAGGACAGAGGGCAAGGGUUAACAUC